AAAGAUGGUAAUAACUAAAGGCCGGCAUUUCAUAUAUGACUUAAGCUAGAGAGCUAGGCUCUCUAACUUAAGCUAUAGCUUUACUAACUUAAGUGUAGUUUAAUUUGUAUUCCGUAUAUCAAUUAGUUAAAGCUAAAUAAAUAAAUUCUAUGGAAGGUCUCGAUUAUUAUAUUCAGUUCUAUUAUUUUAUGUAACUCACCUGAUAUCUUUCAUGAUGUACAAGUGUGUGAAGUUAUACAUUGGAAGCGAUUUACAGAAAAAAAAAACACAUAGUACAAAUGUAUAACAUUGUCAUGUAUUUAGAAACAUUUCACCUACAAAUUAAUGGUUUAAUUGAUGAUAAGGGCAAUGCCAUUCUUAAUUUUUUACCGUUCAUUAAUUAUUACAAACUUAAUGCAAUUGAUAAAGCGUUUUAUGAAUUUUUAAAAGACCUGGAUUCAUGGUGGCUCAAACCUUAACAAUGAUCUGAACUAUAAACAAACAAAGUUAACAACAAGAGUUCCAAAUGCCAUAAUUCAAAUUGAUGACCAGUCGGUCAUUCAAUUUUUUUUCCCGAAUCCAGACAUUAAUUAUUUCAAUAGUAUACAUAUUAGUAUUGACAUGUUUAUAUACUUAUUAUAAAAACUCAAAUAUGACUGAAAUAUAUACAGUAUGUUAAUAGUGUUUAGAAAUGUAUAAGAUUAAAAAUAUUCUCA